rnacentral:rRNA from 1 species
GACGAACGCUGGCGGCGUGCCUAAUACAUGCAAGUCGAGCGGACUUUCAAGAAGCUUGCUUUUUGAAAGUUAGCGGCGGACGGGUGAGUAACACGUGGGCAACCUGCCUGCAAGACGGGGAUAACUCCGGGAAACCGGGGCUGAUACCGGAUAAUAUCUUCCUUCGCAUGAAGGAAGGUUGAAAGGCGGCGCAAGCUGCCGCUUGCAGAUGGGCCCGCGGCGCAUUAGCUAGUUGGUGAGGUAACGGCUCACCAAGGCGACGAUGCGUAGCCGACCUGAGAGGGUGAUCGGCCACACUGGGACUGAGACACGGCCCAGACUCCUACGGGAGGCAGCAGUAGGGAAUCUUCCGCAAUGGACGAAAGUCUGACGGAGCAACGCCGCGUGAGCGAAGAAGGUCUUCGGAUCGUAAAGCUCUGUUGUCAGGGAAGAACAAGUACCGUUCGAACAGGGCGGUACCUUGACGGUACCUGACCAGAAAGCCACGGCUAACUACGUG